CCCUUCAUACUCACGCGUCUACUGAUGUAAAUGGAUCCGGAUUGAUGGAGCUUUCGUUUUCAUCCAACCAAAUAAUAAGAAAAUACGUAUAUUACCUCAUAUCCGUCCCGAUCUACUAAGAAAAUAGGACGGAAGGCUGAGAAUCUCUUUCUUAGUUUCUUUGAUUUGUUCUAGAGUAAUACUUCAAUACACCGUGUAAAUCUUGAUCAUUUACUUUUUAAAAUAAAUGGUUGAGAUGGAAUAUGAUUUUAGAGACGACCUACUACUCAGGCAUAGAUAUCAUUUGUUAUGUAUCCAACUCAAAAAAAUAUUGAAUUUAAAUUUAAGUUUUGAAGUUAGUAUUGUAAUGUAAAAUUUUGACUUCAAAAUUUAUAUUAAACUUUUAAAUUUUGAAUCUACAUUGUACUUUUAAUCUGAAAGCCAAAUUUUAAUUUUUGAUUUGAAUUAAAAUUUUUGAAUUUGAACUGAAAGCUUUAUUUUAAAUUUGUGUUUUAUAUUUAAAAGUUGAAUUUGAUUUAUAAUUAAGUUUUUUAUGUUACUUUGCAUUUAAAUUUACAGCUUAGUUGUAUUUGAGAAGGUUAUAGUAUUCUUAGUUGGAUAAAAACAGCUUUGUAGACCAAAAUAUUUUUCCUAAGACCAAAAAAUUUUUUAAAUAGGUAUCUGGUGAAUGAUUAGGUAUUAUCCAAUUUGGUAAGUAACAAAACUAAAUAAGAUAUUUAAUAUUAUAGGAUGCUAACAAAUUUGGUAUAAUACUAUUUUUUUUUCAAUAUUGUCAUAUUAACUAAUUCAAAUCGGUAACAUGUAAAAUUCAACUAUACCCUUUACUAAUUAAGAAUUUGAUUUUGAGUGAGGCUAUUAUGCUUUUGGAAGCACGAAGCCUUCUGUACUUUCAGGUCGUUUUCGAUGUUGCGACUUUCGAAUCGUCGAUCGGCUCCGUUAAACUUGAUCUAGAGUUUUUGAAGUAUCUAGAAAAUAAAUUUUAUAAUUUUUCGAAAUUAUUUGCCUAGUGAUCGAAGGGCCUCAAAAUCAAUAAUUUUAAUGGCCGUAGUGAGCCGUUUGUAAGUUUACCGGUAUUGAAAUAUUCAAAUCACGUAAAAUUUUGAUAGAAAAUUCUUUCUACUAUAUAAAACAAGAUCAAUAUUUUUGAUCUAAAAUUUUAAUGUCAUACUAUCACGUUUUGUAAGAUUUUUAUUUUCAGCCGUUGAUUUUAAGCCCCUUCGUUCACUAGGCAAAUAAUAUCAAAAAAUCGCAUAAUUUAUUUUCUAGGUACUUUAAAUACUCUAGAUCAAGUUUAACGGAGCCGAUCGACGAUUCGAAAGCCGCAACAUGAAAAACGACCUGAAAAUACGGAAAGCUCCGUGCUUCUAGAAGCAUAGUAGCCUCACUCUUUGAUUUUAAUACUUAUGAUGGUGUAUUGAAGCAUUGCUCUUUUGUUUUAAUACGUCAAAAUUUUCGCCUGUACAAUUUUGACCCGCUUAGCUGUCAGUGAGAACAAAAAAUAAAAUAAAAAAUCAAUU
rnacentral:lncRNA from 1 species